AUGGCAGUUAAGGACAAGGAGAAAGUAGAAAGAAAUCGUCUCAGACUGAAAGUUUCAAUUGCAACUGUUAAGUGGCUCGCACUUCAAUCUUGUGCUUUUAGAGGACAUGACGGAAGACCCGAGUCAAAGAAUAAAGGCAACUUUCUUGAAAUGGUGGAGCUUCUUGCUGAAUUCAAUCCUGAUAUUGCAAAAUGUGUGUUGGCGAAUGCUCCAUAUGGUUCUAAAUACACAUCACCAGAAAUUCAGAAGGAGAUCUUGAGUAUAUUUGCAUGUAAAAUCAGGAAUCAUAUCUGUGAGGAAAUUGGGGAUUCUAAGUUCUCUAUAUUAGUGGAUGAAACAUGUGAUGUAGCAAAGAGAGAGCAAAUGGCUCUGGUUCUUAGAUUUGCUGAUAAAGGUGGUAUUUUGCAAGAGAGGUUCUUUGACUUG
rnacentral:rRNA from 1 species